AGCAGCAGUGAGGAAUAUUGGUCAAUGGGCGGGAGCCUGAACCAGCCAAGUCGCGUGAGGGAAGACGGUCCUACGGAUUGUAAACCUCUUUUGCCGGGGAGCAACGGGGUCCUUGCGAGGGCCCGAUGAGAGUACCCGGAGAAAAAGCAUCGGCUAACUCCGUGCCAGCAGCCGCGGUAAUACGGAGGAUGCGAGCGUUAUCCGGAUUUAUUGGGUUUAAAGGGUGCGUAGGCGGGCUGUUAAGUCAGCGGUCAAAUGUCGGGGCUCAACCCCGGCCUGCCGUUGAAACUGGCGGCCUCGAGUGGGCGAGAAGUAUGCGGAAUGCGUGGUGUAGCGGUGAAAUGCAUAGAUAUCACGCAGAACUCCGAUUGCGAAGGCAGCAUACCGGCGCCCUACUGACGCUGAGGCACGAAAGCGUGGGUAUCGAACAGGAUUAGAUACCCUGGUAGUCCACGCAGUAAACGAUGAAUGCUAGCUGUCCGGUUCUACGGGACUGG
rnacentral:rRNA from 1 species